ACCGAGAUGUGUGCUUAAGAGGGUGGCUGUGACUGGUGCAGAAUCCCCAAGUGUAAUUCUUCUCUAAUCUCUGAAAAGCCUUAGUGAAGUAAUUAGGACAUUAACUAGUCUUUUCAGCUGUUUCUGAAUAUCUUCAGCUCAACCUCUAUCUAUUUAACAAAGUUUUGAUACUUGGAGCACUGUCAUUUCUUUGACAAGAUGUAUCUACUUCGGACUCUUGGGAGUGAGUGUUAAGAACUCAGAGCAUGUCCAGGCUCCCAGAAAAGCUUUCCUUCCUUCCAAACUGGUCUCAGAUGGACAGGUCUCCACUUCCAGAAAAAUCAGCCUUGACCUCCACGUAGCUGUGCAGAACCUCACCAGCAGGGAGUGACGUGCAAGGCCAGGGGAUUGAGGCUGGUGAGGCAGGAGGAGAGCUGAGAAUCACAGGAGCUGGGCAGCCCCGGAGCUGAGGGCGGGAGGAGGAGGAAAAGGAGGAGGAGGAGGAGGAAGGCAGCUGCUUGCCUGCCCUCCUCGCAGCCUGCAGAGCUGCUGGCCACCGGUGUCUGAAUGUCCAGGAGCAAGGCCACCCUCUGGACAUGGCUGGGCUGCCCUGGGCUGCUGGGCUGCUUCUUGCUGGGCUUUCUUGCAGGAUGGUUUACAAAACCGACCGAGAAAACGCCCAACUCUUCAGAUGUCUAUCAAAAUGUGAGACAGAAACUUGUGGCUGAAAUGAAAGCAGAAAACAUCAAGCAAUUCCUUCGCUCGUUUACCAAGUUGCCUCACCUCGCAGGAACUGAACAGAAUCUUCUUCUUGCCAAACAAAUUCAAGGCCAGUGGAAGGAAUUUGGACUGGAUUCAGCAGAACUUGUUCAUUAUGAUGUGCUUCUUUCGUACCCAAAUGAAAAGCAGCCAAACUACAUCUCAGUAAUUGAUGAGCAGGGGAAUGAGAUUUUCAAUACCUCGUUGUUUGAACCACCUCCACAGGGGUAUGAAAAUGUCACUGAUAUACUGCCACCAUAUAAUGCUUUUUCAGCACAAGGAGUGCCAGAGGCAGAUCUGGUAUAUGUGAAUUAUGGCCGCACUGAAGAUUUUUUUAAGCUGGAGCGUGAAAUGGGAAUUAACUGUACAGGAAAGAUUGUCAUUGCCAGAUACGGGAAGAUCUUCAGAGGAAACAAAGUUAAAAAUGCCGUAUUAGCAGGAGCCCAAGGGAUCAUACUUUAUUCAGAUCCUGCUGACUACUGCGCCCCAGGAGUAGAUCCCUAUCCAAACGGCUGGAACCUUCCAGGUGGAGGAGCCCAGCGUGGGAACGUCUUAAACCUGAAUGGAGCUGGGGAUCCUCUGACACCAGGUUAUCCUGCAAAAGAGUACACUUUCAGGCAUAAAGUUAAUGAAGGUGUAGGGAUUCCCAAAAUCCCAGUUCAUCCCAUUGGAUAUCAUGAUGCAGAAGUACUAUUACGUGCAAUGGGAGGAUCUGCAGCUCCAGACAGCAGCUGGAAGGGAAGUCUCAAUGUGUCUUAUAACAUAGGGCCAGGAUUUGCAGACAGCUCUUCUACAAGAAAAGUCAGAAUGCAUGUUCAUACAAACAAUAAAAUAACACGAAUUUACAACGUCAUUGGCAUCCUCAGAGGAGCUGUGGAACCAGACAGAUACAUUAUUUUAGGAGGGCAUAGAGACUCCUGGGUGUUUGGUGGUAUCGAUCCAACUACAGGUGCAGCUGUUCUGCAAGAGGUUGUACGGAGUUUUGGUAAAAUGAAGAUGGAAGGUUGGAGACCUAAGCGAACUAUUAUUUUUGCUAGUUGGGAUGCAGAAGAAUUUGGAUUGUUGGGUUCCACAGAAUGGGCUGAGGAAAAUGCCAGAAUCCUGCAGGAACGGGCAGUUGCUUACAUCAACACAGAUUCCUCUAUAGAAGGUAACUACACAUUAAGAGUUGACUGCACCCCUCUUCUCUACAAACUGGUAUACGAUCUGACAAAAGAGAUUUUAAGCCCUGAUGAGGGUUAUGAAAAUAAGUCUCUUUAUGACAAUUGGCUUGAGAAAGAUCCUGCAACUGAAAAUAAUAGCUAUCCCAGAAUAAACAAACUGGGAUCAGGCAGUGAUUUUGAAGCUUACUUCCAGCGACUGGGAAUUGCAUCAGGCAGAGUCCGUUAUACCAAGAACAGGAAAGCAGACAAAUUCAGCAAUUAUCCUGUUUAUCACACUGUGUAUGAGACCUUUGAGUUAGUGGAAAAGUUUUAUGACCCCACCUUCAAGAAACAGCUUACAAUUGCCCAGUUACGAGGCAAACUGGUUUAUGAACUGGCAGAUUCCCAGGUCAUUCCAUUUGACUGUAGAGAUUAUGGAGAAGCCUUAAAAGGAUAUAGCAAUAGCAUAUAUAAAUUGGCCAAGAAACAUGAAGAACAGCUGAAAACGUACAAAGUAUCAUUUGAUCCUCUUUUUUCCGCUGUGGUGAACUUCUCAAAGGCUGCUGCUGAAUUUCACAGGAGACUUGAACAAGUAGACAAGAAAGAGAGAGGAAGAGUGUUUAAAUGAAACUGUAAAGACAUGUUUCCUCAUUGUGUGAAAUGUGUCUUGUCUCCAUUUCCUGCAGUCCAGUCGCGGUGCGAAUCAUGAACGAUCAGCUGAUGUUUGUAGAAAGAGCAUUCAUUGAUCCUCUUGGCUUACCAGGAAGGAAGUUUUACAGACAUGUCAUCUUUGCUCCAAGCAGCCACAACAAGUACGCUGGGGAGUCCUUCCCGGGGAUCUACGAUGCCAUGUUUGAUAUUGACAGCAAAGCAGAUCAGCACGGAGCCUGGGAAGAAGUAAAGAGGCAGAUUUCCAUCGCAGCCUUCACUGUGCAGGCAGCAGCAGGGACGCUGGAAGAGGUAGCGUAGGAUGAUGGCCUCGAAAAGCUCAGUCAGACAGCAAAGCCUGAAAUGCACUGUGGUCAGGCUACGAAAGCCACCCAGUCUCUCCUGCCUGCCUGCCCCUCUGAGCUUCCAACCCUCUGAACCCGUGGAAGCGCACAGGUAGGGUGAGCAGGAGCUCUGCAUAUCAAAGAACUCCUGAGCUAGAAAUUACUGCUUCUCUGAGAGUGACAAAACCAUAGCUUUAAGAACAGCCCUAGAUGGAAGCUAAUUAGGGGGUGGGGAAAAGGAAGAAUCAGUUCCCAAUUAGAGUUUUCUGAAAGAUCUGCCAGUUUUGGGGACCUGUUAUUUUGAAUGUCCAAUUACAAACGCAGUCAUUUGCCAAGAUACCUGUAAAUCUCAUCCGUAGAAGUGAUCAACUGCAUGCACUUCAUGAGCAAAUUUGUAAGACUCCUCAGCACAUGCAUUUUUCUUGUUCUGAUAAUUACUUUUAUAAUAUAUGACACUAAAGGCAUCUCUGAAUUUUAUAAUCUAUUCUGCAGGACCAGUGAGUGCUCAUUAUACUGAUUUGCUUUCUUUCCUGAAAAAAUAAAAUCCUCUUCCUCCUGCAGAUUGACAAAGCAAUACCUGCCAUUCUUGAUAAUCAGAGAAAACAGCUGCUUUUAUGCAGAAAUCCAACAGCAUUUUCUUGGCAAGUGAGUGUCCAUCCCUCUGAAAGACAGUGUGCAUCUCCCUCCUCUAUUUGCACUUUUUGGAAUAUGCAGACUGGAGAGGAAGGGGGGGAUAACUAAAAAGCUGACCUCCAUGCUUGUUUUGGCACUUUCACUCAUCCCAAACCCAUGGCAGUUUUUGUUCCUGGUUUUUCCUGGGAGAUUUCUUUCAUGCAAAUGUCUUCUUCCCAGUUGAGGCAGCUGGAGGACGCUGUCACUAUUGGCCUGGGCCUUGAGGUUAUUCUGUCCUCAAACAAGACCUGAAGAAAGCUUUCCAUCAGGACCUGCUUUUACAAAGAGAAACUGAAAUGCAUGAGAAUGCUAAUUGUACAAAAAUGUUUAAUUUGUAAAAAAAAAAAGAUUCUUGCUUCAUUUGCCCUUCAUAUGUACUUCUAAUCUACGUGCUUUAUAACUAAUAAAAUUGCCAGAAUUUUCUUAAA